rnacentral:lncRNA from 1 species
ACUCACCCCGCGGAUCCUUCCCUUCCCAAGCGUUCACUCACUGCCUCUCCCUAUCUCUCUCUCGGAUAAUAUCCUCCCGCCACAACAUCUUUCUAUCUCCUCCCGCGUUACUCACUCCACCCGUUCCCUCUCCCAGAGCUCAGUAACCUCACACCUCUUCCUCUCUCCUCCCGCGUUGCUCACACAACCCGCUCACUCUCACACAGUUCACACACAUCUUCCUAUCCUCCCCCGCGUUGCUCACACAACUCGUUCCUCCUCACACCGCUCAUUAACCUCACACAUCUUCCUCUCUCCUCUCGCGUUGCUCACACAACCCGCUCCCUCUCACACAGUUCACACAUAUUUUCCUCUCUUCCAACCUCCACUCACUCCACACUCCUAUCUCUCUCUCGGCCUUCGCUCGUACCGUCACCUUCUCCCUCUCUCCUCCCGCGAUUCUCACGCGACCAACUUCCUUCCACCUGCCUUAUUCCACACACUCACCCUACACGGCCUCCUCCGUACACCGCUACUUCCAUAAGCCGUCACCACGCACACCACACAUCCAAACAUUUCAAACUCAAAUCAACACACGUAUUUGAAGUUUGUUACCGUACCUCCCAUUUCCAUCUUCCAUCUUCCUUCUUUUGGUCGAUCGCGCUAUCACCGUCCGCGGUCUCCUCUUCUCUCCGCUUCGCUUCAUUUCUCUCUCCUUCUGGAACCUUCCGUCCUCUCCUCUUUCUCUUUCCCGCUCCCCUUUUUCCUCUGUUAUUUUUUCCUUUUUUUUCUUUUUUUUCUUUUUUUUCUUUUCUCUUUCCAUUUUCCCCAGUUAUUACAUUAGUUGGUAGUGAAUUAGUGUGGUAUUAUUGUCAAAAGUGC